UACGAAGGGGGCUAGCGUUGCUCGGAAUCACUGGGCGUAAAGGGUGCGUAGGCGGUCUUUUAAGUCAGUGGUGAAAGCCAACAGCUCAACUGUUGAACUGCCAUUGAUACUGGGAGACUUGAGUACAGACGAGGUAGGCGGAAUUGACGGUGUAGCGGUGAAAUGCAUAGAUAUCGUCAAGAACACCGAUUGCGAAGGCAGCUUACUAGACUGUAACUGACGCUGAGGCACGAAAGCGUGGGGAUCAAACAGG
rnacentral:rRNA from 1 species